CCCGAAGGAAGUAUGCUAGGUGUUGGAGGGUUUCCGCCCUUCAGUGCCGCAGCUAACGCAUUAAGCAUUCCGCCUGGGGAGUACGACCGCAAGGUUGAAACUCAAAGGAAUUGACGGGGGCCCGCACAAGCGGUGGAGCAUGUGGUUUAAUUCGAAGCAACGCGAAGAACCUUACCAGGUCUUGACAUCUUUUGAUCACCUGAGAGAUCAGGUUUCCCCUUCGGGGGCAAAAUGACAGGUGGUGCAUGGUUGUCGUCAGCUCGUGUCGUGAGAUGUUGGGUUAAGUCCCGCAACGAGCGCAACCCUUAUGACUAGUUGCCAGCAUUUAGUUGGGCACUCUAGUAAGACUGCCGGUGACAAACCGGAGGAAGGUGGGGAUGACGUCAAAUCAUCAUGCCCCUUAUGACCUGGGCUACACACGUGCUACAAUGGAUGGUACAACGAGUUGCGAGACCGCGAGGUCAAGCUAAUCUCUUAAAGCCAUUCUCAGUUCGGACUGUAGGCUGCAACUCGCCUACACGAAGUCGGAAUCGCUAGUAAUCGCGGAUCAGCACGCCGCGGUGAAUACGUUCCCGGGCCUUGUACACACCGCCCGUCACACCAUGAGAGUUUGUAACACCCGAAGCCGGUGGCGUAACCCUUUUAGGGAGCGAGCCGUCUAAGGUGGGACAAAUGAUUAGGGUGAAGUCGUAACAGGUUAACCGUAAA
rnacentral:rRNA from 2 species